GGAGUGAGCCCCAAAGGCUUCUUACACUCUUUCCCUGUGCCCCAUGGACCACAUUACAAGAGAAACUGGACCAAGAGAAGACCAUGCAUCCUUUUUGGGAGUGGAGAGACACAAAGGAGGAGGAAAGAGGCUUCUGGGUUAGUCGUUUUUGAAAGGAUUCAUGCCAUUUCAGAACCACAACUUCUUGAACAAAUAUUCCGGAUUGGAUUUAGUGUCAUCUGGACCUUCAAAACAGCGAAUGGUGAAGCAAAAUUAUAGAAGCUGUCCAACAUCUUCUGAGUGAAUGUAAUGAAUGAAUAAAGUGAUGAUACAGCA